GAUGAACGCUGGCGGCGUGCUUAACACAUGCAAGUCGAACGGAAAGGCUCCUGCUUGCAGGGGUACUCGAGUGGCGAACGGGUGAGUAACACGUGGGUGAUCUGCCCUGCACUUCGGGAUAAGCCUGGGAAACUGGGUCUAAUACCGGAUAGGACGAUGGUUUGGAUGCCAUUGUGGAAAGUUUUUCGGUGUGGGAUGAGCUCGCGGCCUAUCAGCUUGUUGGUGGGGUAAUGGACUACCAAGGCGUCGACGGGUAGCCGGCCUGAGAGGGUGUACGGCCACAUUGGGACUGAGAUACGGCCCAGACUCCUACGGGAGGCAGCAGUGGGGAAUAUUGCACAAUGGGCGCAAGCCUGAUGCAGCGACGCCGCGUGGGGGAUGACGGCCUUCGGGUUGUAAACUCCUUUCGCUAGGGACGAAGCGCAAGUGACGGUACCUGGAGAAGAAGCACCGGCUAACUACGUG
rnacentral:rRNA from 1 species